rnacentral:rRNA from 1 species
GCUGACGACCGGCGCACGGGUGAGUAACACGUAUCCAACCUUCCCAUUACUCGGGGAUAGCCUUUCGAAAGAAAGAUUAAUACCCGAUAGUACUUUUUUGAGGCAUCUCAAAACAGUUAAAGAUUUAUUGGUAAUGGAUGGGGAUGCGUUCCAUUAGAUUGUUGGUGAGGUAACGGCUCACCAAGUCUUCGAUGGAUAGGGGUUCUGAGAGGAAGGUCCCCCACAUUGGUACUGAGACACGGACCAAACUCCUACGGGAGGCAGCAGUGAGGAAUAUUGGUCAAUGGGCGAGAGCCUGAACCAGCCAAGUAGCGUGAAGGAUGAAGGUCCUAUGGAUUGUAAACUUCUUUUAUAGUAGAAUAAAGUGAGCCACGUGUGGUUUUUUGUAUGUAUACUAUGAAUAAGGAUCGGCUAACUCCGUGCCAGCAGCCGCGGUAAUACGGAGGAUCCGAGCGUUAUCCGGAUUUAUUGGGUUUAAAGGGUGCGUAGGCGGAAUGAUAAGUCAGUUGUGAAAGUUUGCGGCUCAACCGUAAAAUUGCAUUUGAUACUGUCAUUCUUGAGUGUACAUAAGGUAGGCGGAAUUCGUGGUGUAGCGGUGAAAUGCUUAGAUAUCACGAAGAACUCCGAUU